UACGUAGGGACCGAGCGUUGUCCGGAAUUAUUGGGCGUAAAGAGCUCGUAGGCGGUCUGUCGCGUCUGCUGUGAAAACUCGGGGCUUAACCCCGGGCCUGCAGUGGGUACGGGCAGACUAGAGUGCGGUAGGGGAGAACGGAAUUCCUGGUGUAGCGGUGAAAUGCGCAGAUAUCAGGAGGAACACCGGUGGCAAAGGCGGUUCUCUGGGCCUUACCUGACGCUGAGGAGCGAAAGCGUGGGGAGCAAACAGG
rnacentral:rRNA from 1 species